UCCCCCUCUCCCCAUUCUUAAUGCUCUGUCCUGCUAAGACAUAGAUUUAGUUAAAAAGAGAUUUUCUUCAAAUCCCACAGACUCUCACCCAGAAGGACACUGGGUGUAUUCCUGGUGGGCUCUCAGCAGCUGGGACGUCUGGAAGGAGCAGCACAGCAGCAUCGAGAUGCUUCACCUGCCACCCAAACCCCACUGGGGGAUCUCCCGGGCUGUGGAGGAUGAUAGCUAGCCGGAGAAAUCCAUUCCGGGGCUCUUUGGGAUCGAUAAGCAGUUAAGGGAGCGGCGGGAAGAUGACAUUGCCUGUCUUUGUGCGCACACACCGCAGAGGGGCCGGGCCGUUAAAGGGCAGCGCUCGGGCUCGGAGCCAUCGGCUUUAGAAUGUGGUGGUUCCUGCUGGAAUUUUGGACACUUGGUGAGUGGCUGAUCUGCUUGGCCUUGUUUAAUCCAUCGUCCUUGAGCCAAUCUGCUGAAGUGGCACUGAGUGCACCCCGAUGCAAAGCACAGGCUCACAAAGCUGGGGCUGGACGAGGCAUCUGGUGCACCAAGGCACCACCACCUUCUGCCUCAAGGUUUUCCAGCAGAAAAAACAAAUCCCUGAGCUUGGCAGCAUUGCAUGGACACGUGAGCUGGGGGAGGGAUGGCAGCUUUCUCCCUGCCCUUGGCCGCACCAUCAAAGCGCUGUGGGCACUGAAAAGCCUGGGCAGGGGUCUUGCUGAGCUCUGCAGCUGUGCAGGAAUUGCUCUCCAAAUUCGAGAUGUUCUCUGUAUUUAUUUUUCCGUCUGGGUCCGUUUGCUGACAGCCAACAACCCGUGGCUUCGGGCAGCCAGUGCCUGCGCUACAUAUUUUUGUUCAUCCGUCCCUCCCUGCCAAGAGCUGGAGUCAGACAACUGGCUCCGGCUGGUGCCAGCUCUGGUUGCUCACACAGGGAUUAGCACGUAAACUGCUUUGGUCCCCCUGUGGAGGCCGAGCGUGGCCUUCUCUCUUACCCUCC